UGUAAGACAUAACAGAAGCAUAAUAUAUAAUAGUGUGGGAUAUAAAGUUCCACGUAAUAAUAAUAGUUUAAUAUAAUUAUCUUCAUUUUUUAUCUUCAGUGGUCGAAUACAUGCAGAGAUAUUAAAUCUACUGACUUUAGCUAAAUGUACAUCCUCUAAUGGUAUAUUUCAGUGUUCGUUGUAGUAUAACCUUAGUAUUGAUGGUACAUGUACAGCUAGAGUUUUGAUCAGGAAACAUUAAAUUAAAGAAACUUCAGAUCUCGAAUGAUAUUCAAGAAUUAUUCUUGUAGACUUUCAGAGAACUCGUGAUUUAUGCGUAAAUGAUGCAUUUUAUUGGGUUUUAAACAGUUUAUAACGUUUGACAUCAAAGCUUUGUUACUCGCCUUCCACUGGAGCUUUUAACCGCAUCUCAUGGUCUUCCUUCAGUGGGUGGAGCUCCUCCUCUGUAUGUUUUUAAGCUCUUCAGAUGCAGAUGAAAGCUCAGUAGAAGGCCUGUGAAACUAGAGUUCAUUCCACUUUAAUGCAUUAAAUGGACUUAAAAACCUCCAAAAGAAGGGAAUAAAAGGAUCUCUCUUUAGAGACUUAAUAUUUAAUAAAGUGCACCUUCAGCGCUCUGUCUCACCUGUCGGCUGUAGUCGAUGUCGUCUUUCUGCUGUUUUGGGUCCGAACAGCUGUUCACCAGAUGAUUUCUGUGUUUUUCUUUCCUUCUUCCGUGAACUGUUGGUUUGAGUUUGAGAGCAUUCAUCACGGUUUUUAUGAUUUUAUUCAUUCUCAUGAUUCUUCACUGGAAGUAAAACAUCUUCCGUCUCUUUGUGUUUUCCGGUGGCGGCUCGUUUGUUUCUCUCUCCUUCUUAUUUACUCGUCACAUUUUCUCUUUUUUAUUGAUACUGAAACUAUCUCUCGUGCACAAUCCACAUCUUUUUUCUUCUUUUUUUCAUCCUCGUCCCCGUCUGAUAUCUUCUCGUGCUCCUCAGAGUCUCAACCGAGUUUGAGAGAAACGGGAGACUUGAGGGCUCAAGUCGCCAUGUACCUGGGGAUCAAAAAGGGGAAAAUAAAGACGGUAAACCCCGCUCCCUCAGAUUCACUUGGAGUAUGAGGACCACCAGCUCCAUGGAGCCCUGUGAUAUCAUGCGGGAGAUUCGCAAGGUGCUCGAUGCCAACAACUGCGACUACGAACAGCAAGAGAGUUUCCUGCUUCUUUGCGUCCACGGGGACGGGCGAGCCGAGAACCUGGUCCAGUGGGAGAUGGAGGUUUGUAAGCUGCCCCGUCUGUCCCUCAACGGCGUCAGGUUCAAACGGAUAUCCGGAUCAUCCAUCGCUUUCAAAAACAUUGCUUCCAAAGUCUCCAACGAAUUAAAGCUAUGAACAAAAAGGGUUUAAAAGUAUACAUCUAUAUCUAUAUAUAUAGACGUAUUUAAGCUGUACAAUCAUCCAAGUAGCAGUUUCCAAAUGUCUCCUUUUUUUUAAACAAAAUACAGAGUAUGUAUUGAAUAUUAUAAUGUAUAGAUUAAGGCUUUUGGCAAUAAUCAGUGAAUUACCUACUAAUAUCUCAGUCUGUUCAGACAUUAACGAGUUGAAUAUGAUUUGUCAUGCUGUGAAUGUGGACAAAAAAAUGAAACAUUUCUAGUCUUAUUUAUUUCAUCUUUUUUGUUUUGUUUUUCCUCCUGGAAAAAAAUGUACGUAGCGAUUUUGUUUUCAGUGUAAAUAUUGUAUCUUUACUUUCAACACGGCUUCACUGCAAUACUCAUUUUGUUUUUUUUUCUUUUGUAUUUCGUUUAAAAAGUAGAGAUGAGUUCGUGUUAAGGGUCACUCAUGUCUCAAUUAAAGUGUCAACUUCAACGGCU